GGGUAGGUUAUUUCCAGGGUUUUUAUUUUUAUACUUUAAACUUUGAUUUUUUUUUAUGUUUUUWAAWURUUGKUGUUUUUGAAKGUGUUGUUUAAAUAACAUAAAAAAUAAAAUAUAUAUAUUGACAUGCAUUAAACAAAGAUAUAUAUUAUUUUAUGUUGUAUAAAUAAAUUGGCAAAAUAGAGAUGGAAGAUAAAAAUAUGGUCAAAGUAAUAAGAGUUUAUGGUGAAUGCCUAGGAGCUUUAAGGCGAAGAAGGUCGUGGUAAGCUGCGAAAAGCUUGGGGGAGAAGCAAACCUUUAUUGAUCCCAAGAUUACCGAAUGGAGUAAUCC
rnacentral:misc_RNA from 1 species